rnacentral:lncRNA from 1 species
CAAGAGGAGAGGGGGCGGGGCAGGGGAGCGAGCGAUACCCCGCCCACCGGGCGUGUCCCUGGCCCGGCCCCUCCCCCUGCCGCCUGGAGGACUCCGCGCAGCGCGGAGCAGGAGCUGCGCCGAGCCCAGCGAGGAAAGAGCGCCGCGCAGCCCCGCCGCAGGGUGACCUUCAACCGCAAAGCUGCUGUCCACGUGGACUGGGGCUCAGAUCGUGCGCCCAUCCGCCAGGACCCCCACAUCCAAACUCCGAGACAUGGCGACCAAUGGCAGCAAGGUGGCGCCGGGGGCAGAUCUCCACAGAAGUCAGUGAGGACCCCCUUGGCCAAGCGACAAGCCCAAAACCCUGGUGGUCAAGGUGCAGAAGAAGGCCGGGGACCUUCCCGAUCGAGAUACAUGGAAGGGCCGCUUCGACUUCCUCAUGUCCUGUGUGGGCCUACGCCAUUGGCCUGGGCAAUGUCCGGGAGGUUCCCCUACCUCUGUGGGAAGAAUGGCGGGGGGGCCUUCCUGAUCCCCUACUUCCUGGCGCUCAUCUUUGCGGGGUCCCGCUCUUUCAUGCUGGAGUGCUCCCCUGGGCCAGUACACGUCCAUCGGGGGGCUUGGGUGUGUGGAAGCUGGCCCCCCCAUGUUCAAGG